UACGGAGGAUGCGAGCGUUAUCCGGAUUUAUUGGGUUUAGAGGGUGCGUAGGCGGAGUGCCAAGUCAGCGGUAAAAAUUCGGGGCUCAACCCCGUCGUGCCGUUGAAACUUGCGCCCUUGAGUGGGCGAGAAGUAUGCGGAAUGCGUGGUGUAGCGGUGAAAUGCAUAGAUAUCACGCAGAACCCCGAUUGCGAAGGCAGCAUACCGGCGCCCGACUGACGCUGAAGCACGAAAGCGUGGGUAUCGAACAGG
rnacentral:rRNA from 1 species